UGAUGUAGGUUUAUUUCAAAGUUUUAAAAACACUAAACCUAAAGCCGUAGAAAAUUGAUUUAUAGAGCAAUUAUAUUUUCUUUUAAAGAUUUUGGGCUCUAGUUUUAGAGAGAAUUAUGGCUCUAGAGAGAAUUAUGGCUGUGUAGAGCACUCACAGCCAACACCAAUCACCCUUAUAGUAAUUUGUAGAUUCCGAUUUCUACAGAUUUUAGAGCGAUAGGUUAAACGUGAAAUGUGUAUUCUAAAUAUUUUAGAGUAUUAUUAUCUACAUAGACCACGUAUUCUAAACAUAGUAGAUUCAAUGAAAAAAGUGAAUUUCAUUUUCUACUUCGGAGAAUGUCAAUUUUACUUUAAGUAGAACAUUAUAUGAAAUUAUGAUUUAAAUAUUUUUAAAACUGGAGAAAAAUACCAAAAAGUUCAUAUGGAUAUUAUCAUCAGUAGUUACUAUUUUUGCAAUUUUUUUUAGUUUGUAAAACUAUUUAUUUGAUUUAGUUUUAAAAAUACUAAAAA
rnacentral:lncRNA from 1 species